rnacentral:rRNA from 1 species
CAGCCGCCGCGGUAAUACCGGCGGCCCGAGUGGCGGUCACUAUUAUUGGGCUUAAAGCGUCCGUAGCCGGGUUGGGAAGUCCUCCGGGAAAUCUGGCCGCUUAACGGUCAGAAUGCCGGAGGAUACUCCCAGCCUAGGGAGCGGGGGAGGCCGAGGGGAUUCCCGGGGUAGGGGUGAAAUCCUAUAAUCCCGGGAGGACCACCUGUGGCGAAGGCGCUCGGCUGGAACGCGUCCGACGGUGAGGGACGAAGGCCAGGGGAGCAAACCGGAUUAGAUACCCGGGUAGUCCUGGCUGUAAACGAUGCGGACUUUGUGUCGGACAAGCUAUGAGCUUGUCCGGUGCCGGAGGGAAACCGUUAAGUCCGCCGCCUGGGGAGUACGGCCGCAAGGCUGAAACUUAAAGGAAUUGGCGGG